GCUAAGCCCUAAACAUUGAUAGGCUUCUAUACUAUGCCUUCCGCCAGAGUAUUACAAGUAAAAACUUAAAACUCAAAGGACUUGGCGGUGUCCCACAUCCACCUAGAGGAGCCUGUCCUAUAAUCGAUACCCCCCGCUCCACCUGACCUUAACUAGCCUUAUCAGCCUAUAUACCGCCGUCGACAGUUUACCCCAUGAGAGUUCAACAGUAAACAUAAUAGCCCCCGCUAAAACGUCAGGUCAAGGUGUAGCAAAUGUUAAGGAAGUGAUUGGCUACAUUUUUUUAGACAAAAAAUACGAAAUACAUUAUGAAAAUUUGCACGAAGGUGAAUUUAGUAGUAAAAAAAACAAGAGAGUUUCUUUUAAUCUGGCUCUGGGACGCGCACACACCGCCCGUCACCCUCCUCAACUAAACCAUCUAAUUAAUAUAUAAAAUACUGUAUAUAACCCUAGAGGAGGC
rnacentral:rRNA from 1 species